rnacentral:rRNA from 1 species
UACGAAGGGGGCUAGCGUUGCUCGGAAUCACUGGGCGUAAAGCGCACGUAGGCGGACAGUUAAGUCAGAGGUGAAAGCCCAGGGCUCAACCCUGGAAUUGCCUUUGAUACUGGCUGUCUUGAGUAUGGGAGAGGUGAGUGGAACUCCGAGUGUAGAGGUGAAAUUCGUAGAUAUUCGGAAGAACACCAGUGGCGAAGGCGACUCACUGGCCCAUUACUGACGCUGGAGGCGACGAAAGCGUGGGGAGCAAACAGG